UUUUUUUUUCAAAGAUAAAUCUUACACUCAAGCCAAGUAUCAUUAUGUCCUAGCCACAUUUUACCCAAGAUUUGAAAAUGUUAGAGAGAGAAGAGAAGAUAUAUGGGAAGAUUUGUAUAGAUAUACAUGCUAUAUCUAUAUUUUUUUUCAAGACUAAAUGAAGUGCAUUUCAUUUGCUAAAAAUAGUUUAUUUCUCUUUUUGAUCUAAGUCUCCAAAAGAAAACUAGAAGGAGAGAAAAGAAAGGGAGUGGUGGGCAACACCUAAGAGGGAAGGAGACAAUUUCUUCCAUGCUAGAUAGCCUUGAAAUCUAUGGUGGAAGAAGAGUAAGAGCACAAAAGGUAUAAAAUUUCUAACUUUUAAUUUGUUCCAUGAGAUUUAUUUUGGUUAUUUUACAAAAUAUAGAAGCUAUGUUUAUUGAACUUCAAAAAUUUUAGAUCAACAUUUUUUAUGGUGUGUUAUGUGUAGAUCUAAACAUUUUAGGUGUUAAAAGUUUGAUCCAAAGAAAGAAAAGUAAAACAGUUUUUGAAACUUAGAAAAGCUAGUGACUGCUGCCCCUAAACAGAAAAUUCGGGAUUAGCUAGGUUGUUCAGAAAAUUCUGGGCUUUUGGUAUGUUAUAUUACACUGAAUAAGCUUUCCAUAGACUCCAGAACGGACUAAUUCCGACUUCGGAGCAAAGAGUUAUGACCGUUCAAAGUAGUUGCGUCAAAACUGUCUAACCAACUCGGGUCAGUCCCUUUACACGAAAUUUCUGGAAUUCUGUGUUUAGAAUUUGGAAAAGCUCAAAGAAUAAAAGUUGUAGUCCUGGAAGUUAGCUUCGUGUGGGCUCAAGAAUCGCCUAAAAAUGUUUUAAAACGAAAAAGUUAUGACUAUUUUAGCGAAAGAGGGUAAAUCUGGAAAAAAGAUGAAAACUGUUGCUAGUGGACAUUUUUGGGGCCUGUUUUAGGCUGCCUAAGAGGUCCGAAAUUAUUGUGUGAUAUUUUUAAAAAAUACUUGGUAUACCAUGUAACAUAUCCAAAAAUCAAAUUAAUUGGAGUUACGAGUAAAGCGUGAGAAAAUCGCAAAGUGGCUCAUUUGUUAUGCAAGGCAGCAGCACAGCAGCAGCCAGCGCUGUGCCAUGUCGUGCCGUGCUGCUGGUGCAGUCACUUGGCUUGCUUUCUGAGCGCUGUUUUGGUCAAUGUUCAUAGCUUGUUUUCGCGGUUAGAAAAUUUUUAAAUGUACUAUGUCAUAAAGUCUAUAACAUACUAGAAAUUCGCCGCGAUUUGAUUAAUGGUUUGGGAAUUAUAAAUGAGCGAAGAAGCAUGUCAGAACAUAAAAACGGGCAACGCCGAGCAUAGCUGCUAUGAGUUGUUUUGACGUUCGACGUUCCGGAUCUUGUUUGGACUAGAUUGUAAGCAAUGUUAAGUCUAAUAAAGUCCCAAGAGAUAAGUUGACGUUAUGUGAUACGUUAUGCUAUGAAAACUCAGUACAGACAUAAAUAAAAAUAUUAUGUAAAUAUUAAUUUACAUAUUUAAGAGAGAGAAGCCGAAAAUAGUAUGUGAAAAUGGUUUUAUAACGAAACGAAAAGUAUGGAACCAUUAAAAAAUGGUAAUGAACAUGAAAGUGAUGAAAUAAAGGUUUCGGAGUUCAAAAUGGCAAUUUUGAGCUAAGAUUUAUGUUAUGGCAUAUAUAUACAUAUAUUUAAUAUAUAUAUGAAGUAAAGAUGUGAGUUAUUCAUGAAGCAAAGUGCGAACCUAAUUUACUAAUGAAAUAGAAUAUUUAUGUAUGAGGCAAUGGGCCGAAUUAACUUAUGAGCUAUCAAAAAGAUAUAAAAAUAAUAUAAAUAAAGGAAAUGAUAUAGUAAGUUGUGCUUUACUAUAAAAGCUAUGUAUUAGCUGUUUAAAUCUCAAAUUUGCGAGUAAAGGUAAACGAUAUUUCUAAAAAGGAAUAUAAAUAGUUUAAGCUUCAAGAUGUAAAAUAUUUGCAUAUUAAAAUGUGUGGCCUUUAUUAGAUAAUGAUUAAAAUAUUAUUAAAUGGUUAAUAAUAUUUGUGAAUGAUUAAGAUUAUAUUAAAAGAGUAUAAUUAAAAUAUUAUUAAGUGGUUAAUAAUAUUAAGCGACUAAAAUAUUAUUAAAGGGUUAAUAAUAUUAUACAAAAGUUUAAGAUAUUGGUUAAGUGGUAGUAAUAUUAUUAAGGGAUAAUGAUAUUACUAGUGAGUUAAAGAAUUGUUCAAUGUUUGAUUACGUGCCUAAAUAUUAGUUAAUUUAUUAUUCGAGUAAUAGUAUUGUGAUAUAAAGUGUAUUUUGCUAAUUGAAAGAUCAAUCUUAUUAAUGAUAGGUCUUUCAUAAGAGACUAAAUUAGAUUGUUUAGCAGUAAUCAGCGGUACAUGCAAGUUUUUCUAACUCAAACUUGAGUUGUAUUUUCAAAGCAUGUUAGUGAAUAAUUAUUGUUGAUUAUUCACAUUUAUACUGAUUAUUGAUUCGCACUUAGUGCAUGUUGCAUAUGUUCAUCAGGUAUGAAAGGCUGAUCACCUUCAUUACCACAAGGUUCAAUUAAAUUUGGUCAUGGUCAUUGUUGACCACUCAACAUAAUUAUUCAGUUAUUCAGUUAUUGAAGUUUUGAUUCAUGCUCUUUCACAAUUAUAUUACAUUAUUGAAAACUUGAAAGCUUAUUCCUUUUCAAUCAUGAUAUAUCUUCUUUGUACUUAAACUUGCUGGGCAAAAUAGUUGCUUACCCUUGCUAUAUCAUGAAAUUUUUUUCAGAUUAAGAUGAAGGCUUGAACAAAGACAGAGGUAAAGGCAAAUUCCAGAAUUGGAUUAUUAUGCAGUUAGAAUUAUUAAUUUUUCUGAUGCGAAUGACAUUGUCAGUCGUGUAGGAUAUUGAAUGCAUGUAUUAAGUUAAGGUUACAGACCUUGGGAAUUAUGUGUAAAAAUUUAUUAUAUAAACAAUUUAUAUUUAUAUCUUUCG
rnacentral:lncRNA from 1 species